UGAAGUGGGGAAAUGUUCCAUGUGAACAUCACUUGGACAUGGCCAGUUAGUCGAUACUAAGAGAUGGGGAAUCCUUGUAUCAAGGGUGCACUCUGCAUGAACAUCGAAAUAUAAUUGGGUUAAUAUUCCCAAGCCGGGACAUGGUUGUGGACGACAAUGUUACGAAAUCUGGAGAUGUCAUCAGGGGCCUGGGAAGAGUUAUCUUUUCUUUUUAAUGACUUUACCACCUUGAAAUUGGUUCAACUGGAGAUAGCGUCCAACAUCCGAAAGAGAACCACACAUAUUGCGAUGUUUGGUUCCCCCUUGAUAGCCAUUGUAAAUAUGGUGAAACGAGUACCAUCCAUGCUCGAUUGUACUCAUAUCUGCCUCCUUGGAUUUUUCAAUGUCCACUA
rfam:Picea glauca, whole genome shotgun sequence.